ACUCAAAUGAAUUGACGGGGGCCCGCACAAGUAGCGGAGCAUGUGGUUUAAUUCGAAGCAACGCGAAGAACCUUACCUAGACUUGACAUCUUCUGCAUUACCCUUAAUCGGGGAAGUUCCUUCGGGAACAGAAUGACAGGUGGUGCAUGGUUGUCGUCAGCUCGUGUCGUGAGAUGUUGGGUUAAGUCCCGCAACGAGCGCAACCCCUAUUGUUAGUUGCUACCAUUAAGUUGAGCACUCUAGCGAGACUGCCCGGGUUAACCGGGAGGAAGGUGGGGAUGACGUCAAAUCAUCAUGCCCCUUAUGUCUAGGGCUACACACGUGCUACAAUGGCAAGUACAGAGAGAUGCAAUACCGUGAGGUGGAGCUAAACUUCAAAACUUGUCUCAGUUCGGAUUGUAGGCUGAAACUCGCCUACAUGAAGCUGGAGUUACUAGUAAUCGCGAAUCAGCAUGUCGCGGUGAAUACGUUCCCGGGCCUUGUACACACCGCCCGU
rnacentral:rRNA from 1 species